AGAGUUACAACAACAUGGGUACGGUCCUUUUAAGGGGGGGUAUCAGCACCCCCACCAUUUUGGGAGCCCAGGGGGUCAGCAGAAUCCUCACGAGGCCUCAGGGUUUCCCAGUCCUAGGUCGUUAGGGUAUCCUUUUCCUCCGAUGCACCAAAAUACUUAUGGUUAUCACUUAGGGUCUUAUGCGCCGCAGUGUGCCAGUCCGCCUAAAGACGAUCAACACGGAAAUGUCUCUUUUUCACAUCUAAACCACUACCUUGAAAAAUGCGGCCUCUCCGAUGACCCUGGCCUCCGUGUGAACGGCAAAGGCAAGAAGAUGCGGAAGCCACGCACGAUAUACUCCAGCUUACAGCUGCAGCAGCUGAACAGAAGGUUCCAGAGGACACAGUACCUAGCUCUCCCUGAGAGGGCAGAGCUAGCUGCGAGCUUGGGAUUGACGCAGACGCAGGUGAAGAUCUGGUUCCAGAACCGGCGCAGCAAAUACAAGAAGAUGAUGAAAGCGGCUCAGGUGGGCGCCCCGCCGCCCAGCCUCGGUCUACCGCCCAGCAGUCCGCCCAACAACAACCAGCUAUUACAUGGUGGAGGCGGCAGCUCAAGCGGUUCCCAGCACUCCCCCUCAGCGUACCAGAGUGGGGGCCCGGCGCAGGCUCACUCCCCCACUCCGAGUUCCACCCCGGUGUCGGAGCUGUCCCCCGGUCUGUCUCCCACCGGGACCCCGUGGGAUGUGAAGCAGCCGCCGCAGCAGUCUUGGGAUGUCAAGGUCGGAUAUCCGACGGCAGGCCGAUCACCGGACGGCAGCUCGUGUGAUGUGAAACCGCCUCACCAACAAUCAUGGGAUCCACGGGUCGGAUAUGGCGCGCCGCCCGGCCCCUGGGACAUGAAGGGCGCGCACGCUGCCCACGCGCUGCAUCACCAGGGAGCCCCGCAGCCGCAUCCGCCCUACGUGCCCCAGUACUCCUGGUACCAGACCGACGCCAACCCUGGGUUACUUACCCUUUCGCAGUCCACUGCUGGACAUAGGCCCCUACAGAAAUGGGGAAUGAAUCACCAUGCUUGGCAAGCGGGCUGGUGACUGGAGACUCCUUGUGACACUUGGUGUCCGUGUCACAAUGUUCCUGGUGGCAGCCCGAUGUUCCUGGGUCAGUCAGGUAUGGCCCGCAGUUUAACAGCCCUCGCACAAACACAAAACUAACUAAAUUGUAAGUGUAUGUAUAUUCACAACAAAAUGGCGGACGGACAUGACAGCCAUCACAAAAUGGCGUCGUAUUAAUGGCGCGAAAGCAUCGGCACAACCAACUUUUAUUUUUAAGCAGAAUUAUUUAAUAGUAAUAAUGAAAUCAUUGUAAAUUUUUAUAAUUAAUAAUAAAUAGGGAAUAAAUUGUUCAUAAUGGUUACUGUAAAUGUAAUAAAUAUGUUAAUAAAACAGAUAUUGGUGGGUCAAAUGAUUAGAAACGUAAACAUAUUUAAAUAAUUUUUGCCAAUAAAUAAACUUUCUGCCUCAAUAAAUCUUACAAUUUUUUAGCACCCAAAUAUUUAUAAUUUCAUAUUUAUUUCUCAUUCCAUUAUAUUAAAAUAUUUAUUAUAAUAUCUUCUAAGAAAUAAUUUGUUGACCCAUCAAUAAACUAUUCCUAACAAUAACGUAACGUUUUGGAAACCCGAAAAGAAGAUAUUAGCCAAUCAAAUAUCGCAGAUCCUAAAAUGCUCGUUUUUGAUUGGCUGAUGAUCACGCGGCACUCUGAAAUGGACGAAUCACGUUAUUUGUCAACUUUGACAUAUGACAGAUGUGAAUGUGUUGGCUCUUUUAGUUUACCUUUUAGUUUCCCGGAAAAAUAAAUCUUUUGAAAUUAUAUCUCAAGAUUUAAAUAUCUUUUGUUGAAUUUUGCCAUAAUUUCUGAUCUUACAAAUGGUUGAAAUUGUUGCUAUAAUUUUCAAAUGUCAACGGCAAAAUGUGAAAUCAGCUUUUUUUGGAAAUUCGAGAUUUUUGAACUAAAAAUGUUUGCAAUAUUCGCUAGAUACAAUUUUUUCAUAUAUUCCUUAAAAAAGUUAUUAAAAAAUUGAAACUAUAUUGGUCAGCUGUAAGUAAUAUUAUAAUUUGAAAAAUUGUAUUCGUAAAUUAAGCUUUAAUCAUUUUUAUUUAUUUAGAAUUUUGGAAAAAUAAACUAUCAAACGGGAACACAAAACCAGUCUGUUGUGAUAAAUAAUUUUAAGAUUUUUUUUUUAUGUAGAACAAUAAUUUUGAGUAAAAAAAAUUGUAUUUAUUACAUUUUUGUGCAAAAAUAAUGUGUUCUGAAUGCAAAAAAGAGUUUUGUUUUAAGCUAUAAGUAUAUUUUUAUUUUUAAUUUCAACUGCAAUUUCUUUAUUACCUGUAAAACAAUACAGUCUAUUCAUAUUCCUUACAUUAUUCAAAAAAUUAAUGUUUUUCAGUUAAUUUUUUAUUUUUCCCCAUUAUUUUAUUUUGCAAUAAUAGCUAAAGUUAUAUGGAUAGACUGUAUUUCGAUAUAUCUUUAUUUCUAGAAUGGGUCUUUACGGGAUGAAAAAUUUUGUAAAUAUUUUUUGUAAUAUAUAGAAAAAUAAACUAUACAUAUAAACAUAGGUAGCAUAAUUACUUUAUAACUACAAUGUAUUAUAAGGAAAGCGGAAAUAAGAAAAAAAAGUGAAUUAAUUUCUUUUGUCAAAUAAAAAGAGAAAAAUAUUA
rnacentral:misc_RNA from 1 species